rnacentral:rRNA from 1 species
GACGAACCGUGCGAACGUUGUUCGGAAUCACUGGGCUUAAAGGGCGCGUAGGCGGGCUGCCAAGUCUGGGGUGAAAUCCCACGGCUCAACCGUGGAACUGCCUCGGAUACUGGCGGCCUCGAGGGGGGUAGGGGCGUGCGGAACUGUGGGUGGAGCGGUGAAAUGCGUUGAUAUCCACAGGAACUCCGGUGGCGAAGGCGGCACGCUGGACCCCUUCUGACGCUGAGGCGCGAAAGCCAGGGGAGCAAACGGG